ACUCCAGACUCCUACGGGAGGCAGCAGUGGGGGAUAUUGCACAAUGGGGGAAACCCUGAUGCAGCGACGCCGCGUGGGCGAAGAAGUAUUUCGGUAUGUAAAGCCCUAUCAGCAGGGAAGAAGAAAUGACGGUACCUGAGUAAGAAGCACCGGCUAAAUACGUGCCAGCAGCCGCGGUAAUACGUAUGGUGCAAGCGUUAUCCGGAUUUACUGGGUGUAAAGGGAGCGCAGGCGGCACGGCAAGCCUGAUGUGAAAGCCCGCGGCCCAACCGCGGGACUGCAUUGGGAACUACCGGGCUGGAGUGCCGGAGAGGCAGGCGGAAUUCCUAGUGUAGCGGUGAAAUGCGUAGAUAUUAGGAGGAACACCAGUGGCGAAGGCGGCCUGCUGGGCUUUUACUGACGCUGAGGCUCGAAAGUGUGGGGAGCAAACAGGAUUAGAUACCCGUGUAC
rnacentral:rRNA from 1 species